UUUGUCAUGCCCACACUACUAUAAUACCAACUGUCACAACCCACACCAACCUACGAGGCAUUGCUCACUUUGAUCUGCUAGUCUCAUGAUUUUAUCUCACAAAAUAUGUCCACAACACUCUGAUACCAACUAUCAUGGUCCACACCAACCUAUAAGGCAUUGUUCGCUUUGACCCACUAACUUCACAGUUUUAUCCCAUAAAAAACACAUCACAAGUUGAAGAUGGUUUGAACCCUUAAAUGUUUAGCCUUACUCUAGUGCACAAGUAGUGUAAGAUUCAUAGCUCCCUGUUAAGACCAUGACAAUCAUCCCCUGAUAUGCGAUUCAUGACUCUUCACUAGGACCAUGACAUCCUCCUCGACGAGGGAUUAGAUUGAUUCUUUAUUGAGAUCGUGAUCACAUGCAUACUCUUCGAUAUGGGAUUUAAUGAUUCUCCGUUGAGACCAUGACACCUUGCAGGCAAUAUGUUUAGUUGGUACAUUAGUUGUCACGACCCGGGAACCUCCCUC
rnacentral:lncRNA from 1 species